CUCUCUCUCUCUCUCUCUCUCUCUCUCUCCUCCUGGUGUGCGGGUGUAGUGAUUUUUUAGACGUACCGUAAUUCUAUCUAUGCUGUUUGCUGGAAAUAUCAGCCUAUCAUCGCACUUUUUUGACAUUAUUCACGAGUCGGAACUCCGUACGGACUCGGCCACUGGUAUCACAGUCCACACGUGGUUUAGCUUUUCUUGAGAUCAUUUCUGAGUUUCUUCAUUCUGGUCGCCCCAGGUGACAGCAAUCUGUAACUCCUUUUGAUUUGCUGUUAAAAGAGGUGUUUGUAAUAACAAUCCCGCUGACUUUGCAAAAGUUUGCAAGCUUAUCACAACAGUCGUAUCUGUUUUUCAGCCAGUCCUAUUCCAUAUUCCUUGCCUUUUUUGUCUUCCAUUUUUUUGUUGGCAUUAAGGUUGUCCGUGAUCAUUCAAACUUUUUAUUUGCGAAUUUUGUAUUUUUAUAUUUUCAAGUCAGUAAUUUUAUUUUCUUCGGUGCUUCUGGGGGAGGGUGCAUUACAUUGUUAGAAUUGCAACAACGUGUAUGGAGAUAAGAAAAUAGGGUGUAAAUAUUUCCAUGAUUUGAGUAUCCAUUUU